rnacentral:lncRNA from 1 species
UGCCUGCUGUGGAAUCUCCACAACGACAGGUGCUUUGGAGGCCAGAGUGCAUGCGUACGGGCCCUGCACACGCUGCAUGUCACUGGGAACACGGACACACCCCGCUUCCAGGAGAAGAUAGAACAUGUCGACCCCUUUUAGCCAUCCCCAGUGCAGGACAUGCUAUUGACUUCCAUGAGACAAACACCUACUUGGAAAUCAGGUUUUUUCUGUACCUUUUGAAGGAGCAGGAAUUUCCCAGCAUUUCCUGGACAAAGACGGAGGCCACAUUCCCUGCAUCCUUUCCAGCAAGAUGUAAUUCUGAGAUUUUUGUCAUUCCUGGGCGUUAUCUUAUGAGGACUGCCAAGGGACACAGUUCCAUGGGAGGAAAGUUUUCUUCUAAGCUGCAAGCCAGCUCUGGCUUCUGGAGUUUCUCCUUAGGAUUGCAAGACAGUAGUUCCCUGUCCUUUAGGUCUUCUCCAGAAAUACCUUAAAAUAGCAAAUAAAAUAAGAUGUAAGCAAACAAA